AUCGACGUUUAUCUUCGCCUUGCUUAUAAGGAAGACCAAGGACUUUAAAAUCAUUGAAUUCUCUAAUAAAAUGCCUCUUCUUACUCGUCAUGAAGGGAACCUUGAUUGCGCUACCAUUCAAAAGGUUGAAGAGAUAGUGUCUGUUCAAUCCAUACACCAUCGACGAAAGAGAGGAAAGGUCCGCCAGCUGGAGAAGCGUCGGUGAGGACGUCGGAAACGAGUUGAGAGGCGAAGGAGUUGAGAUGAUCGGUGGAUUUGGAUUGAAGGAAGUCAAGAAGCUGUUGUUGUGUGGGACCAUCAGAGCCAGCAGCCAUGAUGCUAAGAUCAAGUUGGAGCGAGAGUGGAGAAAACACAAUGUUGUUAUACUUAUGAGAUUCUUUUGAGAACAAAUGGUUGGUAAUGCUGAAGGAAACGUUGGUUUGGUUGGUAACUGAUUCGCGGAGGUCCAUUAUUUCUCUUCCAAGUAUUUCAAGUUUAAAGUUGGUUAUUUAGUGCUUACUAUUAGUCCAUUACUUGUAGUUUUAUACUAUGUAGUGUGUGUAUGUGCCACUCUCUUACAAACUAAGUUUCCCCUUGAUGCUUACCGACUAAGUUUGAAAUUUCAUACUGUCUACUUUAUAGAGUGCAUUUUCCAA